rnacentral:rRNA from 1 species
AGCGAACGCUGGCGGCGUGCUUAACACAUGCAAGUCGAGUGCGUAGCCCUUUGUAGCAAUACAGAGGGUGGGCGCACGGCGCACGGGUGAGUAACACGUGGGUAACCUGCCCUUCGGUGGGGAAUAACCCCGCCGAAAGACGGGGCGUAAUUCCGCAUAACAUUCCGGGGACGACAUGUUCUCGGACUCAAAGGAAGUGAUUCGCCGGAGGAGGGGCCCGGCCGCCCGACUCAGCUUGUUGGUAGGGUAGGCGG